GGGCGAUUAGCUCAGUUGGGAGAGCACAUCCCUUACAAGGAUGGGGUCGUAGGUUCAAGCCCUUCAUCGCCCACCA
rnacentral:tRNA from 1 species